CCAUCAGUAAUGCCUGUCAGCGUGGUCGUGUGGGGAAGCAAACACAGAAGUAAACCUAUCACCAAGCGGUCAAGACAUACCAACCGACGUUGUGUCGGUCCCUUUCUGUCGGCACUCACUGCGGGCUGCGCGUGAUUUAAACGCCGAGCGGUGACGCGGUCGGCAAUCUCCGGGUUGCGUAAGAUCAAGUGUGCGCACACCCGCGGCCUUACCUCGCGCCCCGUCGCCGGCUGUGCAUCGGCUGGCGAUGUGUGAGCGUGUGGAGAGAGAGCGAAAAAAAAAAAUGAAUGCAUGCCAUCUGAAGGGGCUUACGCAAGUUCGACCUUCGUCAGUCAAGGCUUGAGGAACGGAUUCAACAGCUGGGCCAACUUGUCAAGUUGGAGAAGUACAACCCUGACGUCACACGGAUUUCAAACCAGUCAGUACACGUAAAUCCAGCCUCCCCAGUGUUGGAGGCACUACCUUCUCACAAGCUUCUAAACAAGAAUAGAGUACAUUUAACAACAAAGUCCGGGGUGGGUGGAUGGAAAGCAAACUCGACAACCAACUUUCGUAAUCGGUGAUGCCGAUGAUCUCGGACUUCGGGCAAUAUUCAAGGAUCGACAAAGUGAGUCACUACAUGGAGUAUGACCUUAUUACAGCAGUAAUUCAGGAUGUCGAGAUGGCGGCGAGUGGGGAGUUCAGGAUGUUGGGGUGCAUGGAUAGCAAUUUCAGACAAUGUGACAGGGGGAUAAAAUUGCAGCCCCAGCCCACAGGCACAGAGUGUCAGUCUUUUCGGAUUGCGCAAGGAGAAAUACGAGAAACACAAGAGCCCAGAAAAUCCUACAUUUUCAAAAAAAGGGGAGGGACGUAAUCCGGAACAGACAUUCCAGGGGUUAAAUAUUUGUAGGUGAAAAAAAGGUGUUUAAAAACUGUGCCCCGGCGCAUAAAACUGGGGCGUGCCGAGUAGCAAAACCCGCGGCUGCCAUAUUGCAAACCCUCGUGUUGCUCGGUAUUUAGAGAAUAGUCACCCUUAAACUGCAGUGGGAGGCUUCUUUUGUUUGCCCCACUUAUUUUUUGUUUGCCCCACUUCUUUUUUGUCCGCCAACGCGAACGAUGAAAGGAAAGGGUUCUUGAAGGAUUGGGAAAGUAAGAGGUUCAAGGUGAGGAGGUGAGCGGAAAUCGGUUAUUUUCAGAGAGCAGUCGGUGCAGGACAACAAAAUAUUUCGUUAUCAAUCGUUUAUCGGUGAUUAUAUUCUCGUAGUCUUUCUUGUAUAUAUUUUUUUCUCUCCGGGGCGCGUUACCCGAUUGAAUAAGGCUCCGUGGUGCAUGACUACCAGGCAUACAAUAAGAAGUCUAAAUAUAGUAAAGGUAAAGGUCGUCCCAUGACCUUUUUGAGGUCGUUAGGGAGUGAGGUGUCGGAGACCUCACUGUUCUCGGGGCCAGUUUUAUUUGAGGGUAGUGUUCAUCUCCUUUCCUCGCUGCCUCCCUUCCUCAACCCUCUUCGGAGUCAGGUACCCAUCCCUGCCCGCUGGGUCGAUUGGAAGAAGUUGCGCUAAUCGGGUAUCGAACAGGUGCGUCUCUCAGUUCAGCGCUCUAAGUACUCGACUAUCCUCUCCCCUCCCCCUUAAAGCAACAGAUACCAAAGGAAAGCAUCCCGUUCCUUCCGCUACAUCAGCCUCGUUCUGAACACGUGACGUAAGAUCCGCUUAUCGUGAGCAUAAGCUGGGGUCAAUGUCCGGCGGUCUGUCUCUCACACCCACGCACACAGUCGGUGUGGGGGAUGGAAUGAGGGUGGGAAAUGAGUGUACCGCACGACCUGCGAGUACAGCUGGUGGGUGGACGUCAGCGUCCCUGACUUACUUUCUAAGCAGAUACCGCGGGGUGGAUGGUGGAUGGUGGUGGUGGGCGUGAAGAACAAAUGACACUGGAAAACAUGUUUGAUGACGACGCGGCCAUCAGGUGCGUGCUGACGAGGGCAGCUGAGUGAUGUGCACAACAGGACAUUCACUUCUAGAGAUACGGGUAAGCUCAGGGGUACUUGGCACUGCAUGACUUGCCUGCUAGAUAUGUGGUCACCCGGAAACAUGUGACAGUGCGAGUAUCGAAUCUCUCCGAAAAAAAGUGUCAUCUGUAGAUUAUGCAGUUAGAGCGAAAUGCUUAAGAAUCAUUCUUUCGCAAGAACUACCUGAACUCUCUAUCUGAAAUAAACCAAAUGCCGUUAUAAACUAAAAUAAAUAAAUAAAAUAAACUAAAUGC